rnacentral:rRNA from 1 species
UACGUAGGGGGCUAGCGUUGCUCGGAAUCACUGGGCGUAAAGCGCACGUAGGCGGACUAUUAAGUCAGGGGUGAAAUCCCGGGGCUCAACCCCGGAACUGCCUUUGAUACUGGUAGUCUUGAGUUCGAGAGAGGUGAGUGGAAUUCCGAGUGUAGAGGUGAAAUUCGUAGAUAUUCGGAGGAACACCAGUGGCGAAGGCGGCUCACUGGCUCGAUACUGACGCUGAGGUGCGAAAGCGUGGGGAGCAAACAGG